rnacentral:rRNA from 1 species
AGAGGGGGGGAAUCUGCUGUCCAAGAUAAGCAUGCACGUCUAAGUACGAACUAAAUGAUGGUGAAACUGCAAAUGGAUAAAGACAACAGUUAUGAUGUACCCGGGAGUUCCGAUGGAUAUUUCCAGUAACACUAGAACUAAUACAUGUCCCUGCGUUUAUUAGUUUCGCACAGUCCGUCGCUGAGUCAUGGUAAACAGUUGAUCGACUCGACGUCCCGGAACAGUUUCCGCCCCAUCAGCUUCGAUGGUUGGGUAUUGGCCCACCAUUGCAACAACGGGUAACGAGGAAUUAGGGUUUGAUUUCGGAGAGGGAGCCUGAGAAACGGCUACCACAUCUACGGAUGGCAGCAGGCGCGCAAAUUACCCAAUGCAGACACUGUGAGGUAGUGACGAGAAAUAAUAAAGCGGGACUUCUGUUUCGCUAUUAUAAUGAGGAAUAACCAAAGGUCAUUCCGAUUAGCAACUGAUGGGAAAGUCUGGUGCCAGCAGCCGCGGUAAUA